CCCUUAGAUGCUCUGGGCCGCACGCGCGCUACACUGGUCGAUGCAACGAGUUUCUUUCCUUGGCCGACAGGCCUGGGCAAUCUUUGAACAUCGAUCGUGAUCGGGAUAGAUUCUUGUAAUUUUUGAUCUUAAACGAGGAAUUCCUAGUAAACGCAAGUCAUCAGCUUGCAUUGAUUACGUCCCUGCCCUUUGUACACACCGCCCGUCGCACCUACCGAUUGAAUGGUCCGGUGAAAUCUCCGGACUGGCGUGAGUCGGAGCAAUCUGACAAACGCCGGAAAGUUGAUUAAACCUUACCAUUUAGAGGAAGGGGAAGUCGUAACA
rnacentral:rRNA from 1 species